AGCUAGGUCAGUAGGUAGAUAGGGAGCUAGGUCAGUAGGUAGAUAGGGAGCUAGGUCAGUAGGUAGAUAGGGAGCUAGGUCAGUAGGUAGAUAGGGAGCUAGGUCAGUAGGUAGAUAGGGAGCUAGGUCAGUAGGUAGAUAGGGAGCUAGGUCAGUAGGUAGAUAGGGAGCAAGGUCAGUAGGUAGAUAGGGAGCAAGGUCAGUAGGUAGAUAGGGAGCAAGGUCAGUAGGUAGAUAGGGAGCAAGGUCAGUAGGUAGAUAGGGAGCAAGGUCAGUAGGUAGAUAGGGAGCAAGGUCAGUAGGUAGAUAGGGAGCAAGGUCAGUAGGUAGAUAGGGAGCAAGGUCAGUAGGUAGAUAGGGAGCAAGGUCAGUAGGUAGAUAGGGAGCAAGGUCAGUAGGUAGAUAGGGAGCAAGGUCAGUAGGUAGAUAGGGAGCAAGGUCAGUAGGUAGAUAGGGAGCAAGGUCAGUAGGUAGAUAGGGAGCAAGGUCAGUAGGUAGAUAGGGAGCAAGGUCAGUAGGUAGAUAGGGAGCAAGGUCAGUAGGUAGAUAGGGAGCAAGGUCAGUAGGUAGAUAGGGAGCAAGGUCAGUAGGUAGAUAGGGAGCAAGGUCAGUAGGUAGAUAGGGAGCAAGGUCAGUAGGUAGAUAGGGAGCAAGGUCAGUAGGUAGAUAGGGAGCAAGGUCAGUAGGUAGAUAGGGAGCAAGGUCAGUAGGUAGAUAGGGAGCAAGGUCAGUAGGGAGCUAGGUCGGGAGGGAGCUAGGUCAGUAGGUAGGUAGGGAGCUAGGUCAGUGGGUAGGUAGGGAGCUAGGUCAGUAGGUAGAUAGGGAGCUAGGUCAGUAGGUAGAUAGGGAGCUAGGUCAGUAGGUAGAUAGGGAGCUAGGUCAGUAGGUAGAUAGGGAGCUAGGUCAGUAGGUAGAUAGGGAGCUAGGUCAGUAGGUAGAUAGGGAGCUAGGUCAGUAGGUAGAUAGGGAGCUAGGUCAGUAGGUAGAUAGGGAGCUAGGUCAGUAGGGAGCUAGGUCGGGAGGGAGCUAGGUCAGUAGGUAGGUAGGGAGCUAGGUCAGUGGGUAGGUAGGGAGCUAGGUCAGUAGGUAGAUAGGGAGCUAGGUCAGUAGGUAGAUAGGGAGCUAGGUCAGUAGGUAGAUAGGGAGCUAGGUCAGUAGGUAGAUAGGGAGCUAGGUCAGUAGGUAGAUAGGGAGCUAGGUCAGUAGGUAGAUAGGGAGCUAGGUCAGUAGGUAGAUAGGGAGCUAGGUCAGUAGGGAGCUAGGUCAGUAGGGAGCUAGGUAGGUAGGGAGCUAGGUCAGUAGGUAGAUAGGGAGCUAGGUCAGUAGGGAGCUAGGUCGGGAGGGAGCUAGGUCAGUAGGUAGGUAGGGAGCUAGGUCAGUGGGUAGGUAGGGAGCUAGGUCAGUAGGUAGAUAGGGAGCUAGGUCAGUAGGUAGAUAGGGAGCUAGGUCAGUAGGUAGAUAGGGAGCUAGGUCGGGAGCUAGGUCGGGAGGUCGGUAGGGAGCCAGGUCGGGAGGUCGGUCGGGAGCUAGGUCGGUCGGAGCUAGGUCGGUCGGAGCUAGGUCGGUCGGAGCUAGGUCGGUCGGGAGCUAGGUCGGUCGGGAGCUAGGUCGGUCGGGAGCUAGGUCGGUCGGGAGCUAGGUC